rnacentral:rRNA from 1 species
UACGUAGGGGGCAAGCGUUGUCCGGAAUCAUUGGGCGUAAAGAGCGUGUAGGCGGCUUUACAGGUCCGUUGUGAAAACUCGAGGCUCAACCUCGAGACGCCGGUGGAAACCGUAAAGCUAGAGUCCGGAAGAGGAGAGUGGAAUUCCUGGUGUAGCGGUGAAAUGCGCAGAUAUCAGGAGGAACACCGGUGGCGAAGGCGGGUCUCUGGGCCGAUACUGACGCUGAGGAGCGAAAGCGUGGGGAGCAAACAGG